CUGGUACACUGCUCAGCCUUUCCCUUGUCUUGCAGGCGAAAGAGAGGGAUGUGGAAAUGCAUUCUUGUCUGCUUCCUAACCCGCCUUUUUUUUUCUUUUCGCCGCCAACCUGGCCUAAUUCUCUGAAGGUGAACACAAGCCCGACCUGUACAAAAAACUCACCUCCAGUUGGACCAAAUAGAUGUCUACUGCUGCCUGCAAGAGUAUCUGUCCUUAAGGCUGAGGUAGUAGAUUGAAUAGUUGUGGGGUUUUUGUCCUCCCUCUGAGAUAACUAUACAAUCUACUGUCUUUCCUAAGGAGACAGGUUGAUCUUCCAAGCCAAAGCCUGUAUGUACAUGGGAGGCUCUGUGGAUAAAGGAACUCAUGGACACAUCAAGUAAAGUAGAUUUAGGAGAUAGCGCGUUCUUCACCUUUGAGUAGAAGACUAUAUAUAGUAUAUAGACAGAUAUACUGAUGGAACUAGUCUAAUCUAAUGACAACACCUACUGAAGUUGGCACAUAGAAUAAAGUCAUGAUAUUUGGUGCCGGAAAUUGAGCCUGGCAAGGUGAGGUAGUAGGUUGUAUAGUUUGUGGGAUGGAGUAAAUCCUACUCAGGCGAUAACUAUACAGUCUAAUACCUUUCUUGAGAGGUACAAUGAGUGCUUGGGAUGAAGCUCAUUCACAUGGGUGGUAAAGGGGCCACUCUGACGCCAUCAUGUGGCCAAAGACUAUCAUCACUCUGAAGAUUAUGGAAAGUUUGGUAACUAUACUCUGUGUAUCUAGGGCCAUGUUCACAAACAUCGUAAGGCUCAUUGCAAUACUGACAUAUAAAGGCUCUUUCAUGGCCGUCGCUGCGUAAUUCAGUCACAUUUGUACCGAAUCAAAGUAUGAAAAAUUGUCAGCUUGAAAUAGCUUAAAGGUGGGGUAGGUAAGUUUGAGAAACCGGCUCGAGAUACACUUUUUGUUAUAUUCCAUGGAAUGCUCUUAACAUCCCGAUAGCAAUGAAUAUCUUAAGUGCUUUGACAAAAAAUCCAUAAAAAUAUUUCAUCUGUGGAAGCCGUAGUACUGUAAAAAGUACGACCAAUCAUUUUAGCCGGCCCGGCUAAAAUAACUGGAUGGCCUACCUGCCUGUCAGCCUUCCAUCUGUGCACAAACUUAUCUCGUGCCCUCAUUGGUCAUGUGCGCGUUCGUGUGUGUUGGAGGAGGGGCUCUGUAAGGAAGUGGCAGAUUUUUUCCAGCUGUUUAUUUUCAAAUUCUUGCGCACUCGAGCUGGUUUCUCCAAAAUUACCUACCCCACCUUUAAAUAUUAGCUUAAAUAUUACAUUCCCAUGUUUUUUUACCAAAUGUUUUUUUUAACGUUAUAUUUAACACCAAUGAUGUUAAAUGCUAGAUGCUAAAAUAUUUAAAAUAGUGUUAUGAAUACAAUCUAUGAAUAUGUUUCUAAUUGUUGAGUAUUUUGUUCCAUUUUCUGUGUGUUUUAUUUGACAUUUUAAUUGUUUUGCCUGAUUGAAUUGAAUUUGUGAAAAUAAAGAGUCAUUUAUUAUUAUUAAUGGGUUGUACAGCAAGAGAUGUUUAUCAGAUACAUUGGUAAUCAAUGAAAUAAAGCCAUACGAAACUAA